AGACAGCAGUAGCCGCGGUAAUACGUAUGUCACAAGCGUUAUCCGGAUUUAUUGGGCGUAAAGCGCGUCUAGGCGGUUAAUUAAGUCCGAUGUGAAAAUGCGGAGCUCAACUCCGUAUUGCGUUGGAAACUGGUUAACUAGAGUACUGGAGAGGUAAGCGGAACUACAAGUGUAGAGGUGAAAUUCGUAGAUAUUUGUAGGAAUGCCGAUGGGGAAGCCAGCUUACUGGACAGAUACUGACGCUAAAGCGCGAAAGCGUGGGUAGCAAACAGGAUUAGAUACCCCGGUAGUCCCUGUCUCUUAUACA
rnacentral:rRNA from 1 species